GACGAACGCUGGCGGCGCGCUUAACACAUGCAAGUCGAACGGAAAGGCCUGCUUUCCCUUGUGGAUUGCGGGUACUCGAGUGGCGAACGGGUGAGUAACACGUGAGUAAUCUGCCCCCAACUUGGGUAUAAGCCUGGGAAACUGGGUCUAAUUCCCGAUAGGACUGCAGGGUGGUGCCUGUGGUGGAAAACGAUUUUCUAGUGGUUGGGGAUGAGCUCGCGGCCUAUCAGCUUGUUGGUGGGGUAAUGGCCUACCAAGGCGGCGACGGGUAGCCGGCCUGAGAGGGUGGACGGCCACAUUGGGACUGAGAUACGGCCCAGACUCCUACGGGAGGCAGCGGUGGGGAAUAUUGCACAAUGGGCGGAAGCCUGAUGCAGCGACGCCGCGUGGGGGAUGACGGCCUUCGGGUUGUAAACUCCUUUCGACCGCGAGGAAGCCACCUGGUUGGAAGGGUGGUGACGGUAGUGGUAGAAGAAGCACCGGCUAACUACGUG
rnacentral:rRNA from 1 species